AUUGAACGCUGGCGGCAUGCCUUACACAUGCAAGUCGAACGGCAGCACGGGAGCAAUCCUGGUGGCGAGUGGCGAACGGGUGAGUAAUAUAUCGGAACGUGCCCAGUAGAGGGGGAUAACUGCUCGAAAGAGCAGCUAAUACCGCAUACGACCUGAGGGUGAAAGGGGGGGAUCGCAAGACCUCUCGCUAUUGGAGCGGCCGAUAUGAGAUUAGCUAGUUGGUGGGGUAAAGGCCUACCAAGGCAACGAUCUGGAGUUGGUCUGAGAGGACGACCAGCCACACUGGGACUGAGACACGGCACAGACUCCUACGGGAGGCAGCAGUGGGGAAUUUUGGACAAUGGGCGCAAGCCUGAUCCAGCAAUGCCGCGUGCAGGAAGAAGGCCUUCGGGUUGUAAACUGCUUUUGUCAGGGAAGAAAUCCUCUAGGUUAAUACCCUUGGGGGGAUGACGGUACCUGAAGAAUAAGCACCGGCUAACUACGUGCCAGCAGCCGCAGUAACAC
rnacentral:rRNA from 1 species